rnacentral:rRNA from 1 species
AGUGAACGCUGGCGGUAGGCCUAACACAUGCAAGUCGAACGGCAGCACAGUAAGAGCUUGCUCUUACGGGUGGCGAGUGGCGGACGGGUGAGGAAUACAUCGGAAUCUACUCUUUCGUGGGGGAUAACGUAGGGAAACUUACGAUAAUACCGCAUACGACCUACGGGUGAGAGCAGGGGAUCUUCGGAGCUUGCGCGAAUGAAUGCGCCGAUGUCGGAUUAGCUAGUUGGCGGGGUAAAGGCCCACCAAGGCGACGAUCCGUAGCCGGUCUGAGAGGAUGAUCAGCCACACUGGAACUGAGACACGGUCCAGACUCCUACGGGAGGCAGCAGUGGGGAAUAUUGGGCAAUGGGCGCAAGCCUGAUCCAGCCAUACCGCGUGUGUGAAGAAGGCCUUCGGGUUGUAAAGCCCUUUUGUUGGGAAAGAAAAGCAGCAGGUUAAUACCCCGCUGUUCUGACGGUACCCAAAGAAUAAGCACCGGCUAACUUCGUG